CUCUCUCUCUCUCUCUCUCUCUCUCUCUCUCUCUCUCUCUCUCUCUCUCUCUCUGUUUGAUAUUUCUAGUGGGUUCCUAGAGACUCUGUAUGCCUUUGUAUAUGAGACUCUCUGCAUAGUAUAGAGAGAGAAAGGAGGCCCCAUUCUAUCUCUCUAUGUCAUUCAAAUAACUCUAUCCACUUCUCUGUUUAUCUCAAAUUUGUGCACGUAUGUGUGUGUCUAUAUAUUACAUUACAGAUGGAGUAUAUAUAUAUAAUGCUUAUGCAAUAUUCUUUGACUAAAAUAUCUUUUAAAAAGACUAAAUGUUUUAGCCUAUUUAGUCUGGAAGGGGCUUGCUUGCACUAUUUUCAAUAAAGAAUGUCGUCCGCAACUCAUGCCUUGGGGAUGAGGCUUGUGGUGGGAUGUAUAGAGCUAAUACCAUGGCUUCUGCAAUCGUCUCUUCCUUUCAGGUUGGCGGAACACCUUCAGUUAUGGAGAUUGGUUAUUGGAUGGUGAUUUGUAUAACUGGUAAUUAAAUGUGAAUUCUAUUGUGAGUUCUUCUAUGAAUUUGAGCUUCCAGUGUUUUCUUCUUUUGCUUUCUGAUGCCUUCUUUCAAGUUGACAUUGGAAUUUUCCUUCCUUGUUAUGGGGAUCGCUCAAAAUGCUGAAAGUUUCUCGCUUAACUAGUAGGGCAAAUUUUUCAAUUUCCAACCCCACUUCCCUCCCCUUCUUUCUAGAGGAAAAAAAGGGACUAAAAAAGAAAGAAAAAGCAGAAAAGAGAAAGAAGAUUAGAGAAUAUUUUGACUAUUUGCUUUGUUUUGAUUUUGAUAAGUGCUGUCUUUAAGAAUAGAGAAGGUUAAAAUUCCACAGAUUCUCUCUGAUGUACACCCAGGACAUCAUUAAACCUGUGACAAACCCCAUCAAGGAGACAUGCCAUAUACAAAUAUUACAAGGCUGGCUUGCACCAUAAGGUUGCGUAGCAAAAAUUACUGGGAAAGAAGGGUUAUAUCUGGCACUUAUCUCCGCUGAAACUUUAGCAUAAUGGUCUGAUUUUUGUCAAAUUUAGUAAACUUCUUAAAGAUGUGAUGAUUACAAAAGCUGGAAUUCAGGUCCAGCACUUGUUUCUGGAGGGAGACGAAUCUAUGAUUUCUGCCAUCUCCAAGGAUCAUUUGAGUUUUAAGGUUAGAGCCGACCAAACAAAAGAUUAUGGUGGUCUACAUGUGCAAUUGGGGAAAACUGAUUUUUCGAUUAUUAUUGUCAUGUUUCAUGGCAAAGUGGUAGUAACAAGAGGAGAGAGGCCUAAGGGAGGGCCCAGGCACCCCUGAGAUGUUAACACCAACAAGUGCAAUAAUGGGAGCUAAUCUUGGAAAGGUAUCUUAAUGUUCUUUUUUCUUUAAGAAUAUUCUUUUAAAGAGGAAAUGUAUAUUAUGGUAAUCGAUGUUCUGAUUUGGGAUAAGUUAUUUGUUGGAAUUGGCUUGAACUUUCUAUUUUCCUAACAAGAAGAAUUGGCUUGAACUUAAAAAGAAA